GAUUGGUAAUGCAAAAUAAACUUUAUGUCGUACAAAUAAAUGUAUAUUUUCAGUAUUUAUGUCAAACGUAAUAAGCACUCCAGUAAAUUAUUAUUAACUUCAUGACCUUAAGUUACUUGCACAAACUACUUAGAACUAGUCUUACUUGAAGUUACGUAUAUUUUAAUUCUGUUUGUUGAAGUUGGAAAAAGUGUCGUAAAGGACAGAGCCAGUUAGGAAAAAAAAAAUACUUUUCUGAUUUUACAAGUUUACAAAUAAUUAAACUUAAUUAAUAUGAAUAUUAUUAUGAAAUCCAUAAUAAUACUUUGUGUUAUAUUGUGUGCUUUAACUAGCGUUAACAGUAUUAAAUGCUGGAGUUGCAGUUCAAAUAUUGAUCCUAAGUGUGCAGAUCCCUUCGACAACAGUACGUUUCCAUUAAUGGAUUGUAACCACGAAAGGAUUUCACAUUUAUCGGACGUCAUGCUGAGUAUGUGUCACAAAAGUAAACACAAAGUUGACAAUGAAUUGGUAAUUGUUCGGGGCUGCGCAUGGAAGCAUCAAAAUGAUUCGAGCACAACAUGUCUUAUUUCAAGCAACAGGCCAAAUGAAGUACCCUUGUAUUGCGAAACCUGUGACUAUGACGGCUGCAAUGGAGCUACAACCAUCAGCAGAACUCUUGCGUUGCUAAUUGCUCCUUUCGCACCCUUGUUGUUUAAGUAACAACAUUUUCCUUGGUGUAGUAACAUCAUUGUUUCUACACUGAGUAUCUAUUUUAACUUUAUUUCUUGUCACUCAGUGUUAGAUACUAUGUUCACACAAUGUAGCUGGGAGCUGAAGUCAACUUUGGUUUUACAGGAUUAAUGACAGUCAGCAUCACUUUUGGGCCCUGUAAUGUCCCACAUAUGAUUAGCCAGGUUCACUUUAAUAUAGGUAUACAAAUAUAUAUGUCUCAAUAACAAGUCUGAUAUGUUAUGUAUUCAAAAAAGUUUUUAACAAAAAUUAAACCUAUCAAAAACUAUUUAAAAACAAAAAAUAAAUUAACAUAACAGGUACAUAUAUACUAUUAUUAUUUCUAUUUUGUCUAUUAUUUUAAUUGAACUAUUUUCAAGUACAAAAAUUUAUCUUUAUAAUUAAAUCUUGUGGUGGGCCUAAUUACUGCAACACAGAUUAUACUAAUUACUAAUGCUUUUAUUAUGAUCACUACGGUCUAAUAUGUUAUAACAGUAACAAUAUUGAUGGUCCCCAGGAACAAGUGACAAGAAAUAAUUAUUCAUAAUUUCGUUUACUUAUAUUACAUUCCAAAUAUUUUAGUUUAAAACCAAACCGAUUUUGGAAAAUAUUCUGUAGGACCAAUUUGGAGUAUAUUUCAAAUAACAAAAGAUUUUUUCAAAUCGAUUUAUACAUUACUGAGUUCUGAGAUACCUAACAUAAAAAACGUGUUGAAUUGAGAAUCUUUUUCUUCUGGGAAGUCGGUUAAACAUAAGCUCUGUGUCUAGUGACGUUCGGUGCUAUGAGACAGAGGGCGACAAUCGCUGCAAAUCUCAUCACUGGAUCCAAAUAAGUCCAAUUUACAAUUACAUCGAAAUAAAUUGUGGUAAAGUGCUAUGAUAUCUUUAAUGUAAAUGUUACAAACAGUAAAAAUACCAGAGAGUUCUCACAAGUGACUGUUACUUAUUUGUUUAGACUGUAAUUAUGUAGAUACAUUGUAAAACACAUUUUUUCAUGUUACUAAGUUCUAUUUGCGUUACGGCACAUUUUACAAGAAUAAUAAGUACCUUAAAGUGCAAAUUAGAUUUAGCUUACAGUUAUGGCGGGCCCAUUGACCCAUUGUGAUAUUAAAUGCUCACUUUUAUAAUAUACCAAAUGUUCCUGUACAUUAAACUCAUUUUGUAAAUCUUUAUUAUUUUAACGUAAUAUAAUUUCAGUGUUAAUGAAAUGUAAAUGCACAUUUUCUACUUAUAACUUCUUUUUUUCUACCGACAUCUAAUCGAUACUAUGAACUUAUUUUCUCGACUUAUGAUUUAAAAAAACGAACUAGUUUGGUGGAGGCAUCUCGAUUUAGAUUCUCAUGACAUUUAACGUUUAAGGGUAAAUAGUAAUAGCUAUUACGGGUUAAAUUAUAAUUCAUAUACAAUAAGUACUUACGUAUAUAAAAAGGACUCUCGUGCACAAGUUCAAAUGGUGCCUUUCGAAUGGUUGUGAAAAAUGAUUUAUAUACAGUAAGCAUAUAUUUUAAUCAAUAUUCGUAAUUUUUUCAUAUUUAAUGUAAAAUAUUCAACGCGCUAUCGUUGUGUUAAUAAAAAAUGACUCUUU